rnacentral:rRNA from 1 species
AACGAACGCUGGCGGCAGGCCUAACACAUGCAAGUCGAGCGCGCCCUUCGGGGUGAGCGGCGGACGGGUGAGUAACGCGUGGGAACGUGCCCUUUUCUACGGAAUAGCCUCGGGAAACUGAGAGUAAUACCGUAUACGCCCUUUGGGGGAAAGAUUUAUCGGAAAAGGAUCGGCCCGCGUUGGAUUAGGUAGUUAGUGGGGUAAUGGCCUACCAAGCCGACGAUCCAUAGCUGGCUUGAGAGAAUGAUCAGCCACACUGGGACUGAGACACGGCCCAGACUCCUACGGGAGGCAGCAGUGGGGAAUCUUAGACAAUGGGGGCAACCCUGAUCUAGCCAUGCCGCGUGAGUGAUGAAGGCCUUAGGGUUGUAAAGCUCUUUCAGCUGGGAAGAUAAUGACGGUACCAGCAGAAGAAGCCCCGGCUAACUCCGUGCCAGCCGCCGCGGUAA